rnacentral:rRNA from 1 species
GAGUUUGAUCUUGGCUCAGAUUGAACGCUGGCGGCAGGCCUAACACAUGCAAGUCGAGCGGAUGAAGGGAGCUUGCUCCUGGAUUCAGCGGCGGACGGGUGAGUAAUGCCUAGGAAUCUGCCUGGGUAGUGGGGGAUAACGUCCGGAAACGGGCGCUAAUACCGCAUACGUCCUGAGGGGAGAAAGUGGGGGAUCUUCGGACCUCACGCUAUCAGAUGAGCCUAGGUCGGAUUAGCUAGUUGGUGGGGUAAAGGCCUACCAAGGCGACGAUCCGUAACUGGUCUGAGAGGAUGAUCAGUCACACUGGAACUGAGACACGGUCCAGACUCCUACGGGAGGCAGCAGUGGGGAAUAUUGGACAAUGGGCGAAAGCCUGAUCCAGCCAUGCCGCGUGUGUGAAGAAGGUCUUCGGAUUGUAAAGCACUUUAAGUUGGGAGGAGGGCAGUAGUUAAUACCUUGCUGUUUUGACGUUACCAACAGAAUAAGCACCGGCUAACUUCGUGCCAGCAGCCGCCG